ACCCGUGACGUUCCCCGUCCUCCUCGGAACUUUCCGGAGCCGUCGCUGCCGCCUCGGGCUCUGCGCUGGUCCCUGGGGCCACCUCCGGCUGUGGGGACAGGGACAGGGGACAGGGACAGGGGACAGGGGACAGGGGACAGGGGACAGGGACAGGGGACAGGGACAGGGGACAGGGACAGGGGACAGGGACAGGGGACAGGGGACAGGGACAGGGGACAGGGACACAGGGACACAGAGGGACCUGGGGACACAGAGACAGGGACAGGAACACGGUGACACGAGGGGACACAGGAAGGUGACACAGUGACACAGGAAAGGGGACACGGUGACACAGUGACAUGAGGUGACACAAGGUGACAAGGACAUGGCGAUACACAGUGACACAAUGACAGGGGAGGGUGACACAAGGUGACACACGGUGACACAAGGUGAGAUGACACACAGUGACACAGUGAUGGGGGAGGGUGACACAAGGUGACACGAGGUGACAGUGGCACAUGGUGACACACGGUGAGGUGACACAUGGUAACACAAGGUGACACACAGUGACACACGGUGAGGUGACACAAUGACACACAAUGACACACGGUGACACACACGGUGACACACAGUGACACACGGUGACACACACGGUGACACAGUGACACACGGUGAGGUGACACACGGUGACACAGUGACACACGGUGACACACAGUGACACACACGGUGACACAGUGACACACGGUGAGGUGACACACGGUGACACAGUGACACACGCACUGACACAAGGUGACACACGGUGACACAGUGACACACGGUGACACACGGUGACACACGGUGAGGUGACACACACUGACACACGGUGACACAGUGACACACACGGUGACACAGUGACACACACAGUCACACAUGGUGACACACAUUGACACAAGGUGACACACGGUGACACAGUGCCACACGGUGACACACACACUGACACAAGGUGACACACGGUGACACAGUGACACACGGUGACACACGGUGACACGGUGACACAGUCACACACAGUGACACACGGUGACACAUGGUGAGGUGACACAGUGACACACGGUGAGGUGACACAGUGACACACACGGUGACACGGUGACACACCUGCUGGCGCGGCGGGGGCGCGGUGACCGUCCACAUGUCGUAACAGCCGGGGAGCUCAAACGUGGUGACAACCUGCGGCCGGAUGCUGCGCUGGGGACA
ensembl:lncRNA